rnacentral:lncRNA from 1 species
CCAAAGACCAACACUCCACAAGAACUGAAUGAGUGCUGAUACCCAGGCACAACCUGCAGGCACCUUCUCCAGGUCUGCCGCCCCACCUGGGUGGUGCACUAGGAAGGAAGAGGAGAUAUUGGAGCCCAAAUGACCAGCAGGCAGAGGGACUGCACCAGCAGGAAGACCAUCCUCCCCUCCCCAUCACCCCCUCCUUGCUCACGUGCUCCCCUGUCCCCCAAGUGACCAGAAGGGGGAGGGAGUAAAGGGGAUGUUUCCAUGGGACAAUAUUUAAAUUCAGCUCUUCUCUGAAUGUUUUUAGUUACAAAAGUAACAUAUACUCAUCAGAGCACCCCAGGCAGUGCCUGUAACCUCAGUCCGAAGUAGGCAACGCCGUCUGCUGGGUGUGUGUACCUCACACCACUCUCUGUGCUCAUGCAAAUCAUGUGUUUUAAGCAUGAGCCUUCAACUCAAUUCUCAUCUCCCCUGAGACGCUCGCUGCCUUUCAGAUGCUUGGAGCUUCUUCCAUGCCCCUCAGCUGAUGUAAGAGUAAUGCUGCCGACACCUGUGGGGGCAUCAGCCUACUCUCCAUGAAAUCUCAUGCAGGACGCCCCAGAAGAGAGCAGGUGCGAGGGUGCAGUACUCAGUGCAGCUGACUUUGGAUUCUGUGGGUGCUGCCACAGGACAGGAACCAGGACAUGUAUGCUGGGUUUUAUGCCAAUUCCAUAAAACAUGACCCAGGCUUGGGGGAGCCACAUUCAGGGAGAGACCCCAUGCUGAGUAUCAACUCCCAUCCCACACAUCCCUCCACUCCUGUGUCCACAACUGCAACAAGAUCAGAACCACCACUCAGCUCUAAAGGAUCAGAAGCCAGGGUGGAUCUCGCUCCUUCACUGUGCUCUCAGCCUGCACGUGAGCUGCUCUGAAGGGGUGAACACACCUGGGGUGGCUCUCAACCCGUGGGGGCCAGGAGUCAGCAGUAAAUGUUCCUGCGUCCCAUCCUUGGGUGGACGGUUCAGG